UAGGUCUAAUGGUUGGUUACUUGAGCUGAUGGCUCUUGUGCUUACUAAAAUAGCAUCUGUCAAUCCUGACCCAAAGACAAAAUUGUGUCUGUGUUUCCUCUUACAGUGCUAUGACUAAUUAUUAAGGUAUUAAACUUCUUUUCAACAGAUUAAGAGUUCCUGGUGAGCACAGUUAAACAAGCCAUUAGGUUGAGAACAAAAUUUUUCCACACUACAAUGACCCACUAAUGCACCAACUACUGCCACAUUCAUCAGUUAGGGGACGUGAAGAAUAGAAAAUCUGAACUAUUUUUUAUUUAUUUUUUCCUCAUUUCAAAUUGAGACCAUUUACAUACAUAAAACACAUAGGCUUUAAGUGUAUAUUUGAUAAGUUUCAACUAAUGCAUAUAUCCAUGUAACCAUAAUGCUGGCGAAGAUAGAAAACAUUUGCAUCACCACCAAGAGUUCCCCCAUGCCACCUCCAGGAAAAUCCACCUCUACCACCAAGAGGCAAUCACUGUUCUGAUUUCUAUUACAUAGAUUAGGUUUGCCUGUUCCAGAGCUUUAUGUAAAUGGAAUCAUACAGUAUGUGCUUUUUUGUAUCUGACUUCUUUCAUUCAUCAUCAAGUUUUCAAGACUUGUCCAUGUUGUGUAUAUUAUAUUUUAUUUGUUUACUAUAUGGAUAUACCACAGUUUCUUUUCUACCCUCUUUGUAAUGGACAUUUAGGUUUUUUCCAGUUUGAAGCUAUGAUGAAUAAAACUACUCUGAACAUUCUCGUUCACAUCUUUGGGUGAACAUAUGCUUCAUUUGUCAUAGGGGCAGUUUUAAGAACUCAAUCUCCAACCACUGAAGGCGUGUGAACGACCCUGCUGAGGAAAGGCAGCUGCCAUCCUACAAAGACACUCAAGAAACCCUAAGGAGAGAGACAGAGCAAGGAACUGAAGCCUCGGCCUCAGAUGACUACAGUCUCAGAUGACUACAGCCCCAGACUACUGACUGCAACCUUCUGAGAGAUCUUGAGUCAACCAUGUACCUUGAGCUUGGAAGCAGAUCUUCCAGCCUCAGUCAAUUCUCAGAUGACUACAGCAUCAUCCUGUUGAAAGCAACCCCAUGAGAGACCUUGAGCCAGGACCAUCCAAUUAAGCUGCUCCCAAAUUUCUGAUGCACAGAUAUAAUACAUGACAUAAUAAAUGUUUAAUGUGGCAAGCCACUAAGCUUGGGAGUAAUUUAUUGCACAAGAAUAGAUAACUAAUUCAGUUACAUUAAGGAAA